rnacentral:rRNA from 1 species
UGGGAAUCUGCCCUUAGGUUCGGAACAACAGUUAGAAAUGACUGCUAAUACCGGAUAAUGACGUAAGUCCAAAGAUUUAUCGCCUAGGGAUGAGCCCGCGUAGGAUUAGCUUGUUGGUGAGGUAAAAGCUCACCAAGGCGACGAUCCUUAGCUGGUCUGAGAGGAUGAUCAGCCACACUGGGACUGAGACACGGCCCAGACUCCUACGGGAGGCAG